rnacentral:rRNA from 1 species
GGGAAAAGCUCAAAUUUAAAAUCUGGUGGCCUUUGGCCAUCCGAGUUGUAAUCUAGAGAAGCACCUUCGGCGUUGGACCGUGUAUAAGUCUCUUGGAAUGGAGCAUCACAGAGGGUGACAAUCCCGUCUUUGACACGGAUUUACCAGUGCUGUACGGAUGUGCU